UACGGGGGGAGCAAGCGUUGUUCGGAUUUACUGGGCGUAAAGGGCGCGUAGGCGGUCGUGACAAGUCACUUGUGAAAUCUCCGGGCUUAACUCGGAACGGUCAAGUGAUACUGUCGGACUAGAGUACAGAAGGGGCAACUGGAAUUCUCGGUGUAGCGGUGAAAUGCGUAGAUAUCGAGAGGAACACCUGCGGCGAAGGCGGGUUGCUGGGCUGAUACUAACGCUGAGGCGCGAAAGCCAGGGGAGCGAACGGG
rnacentral:rRNA from 1 species